GGCGAACGGGUGAGUAACACGUGGGUAAUCUGCCCUGCACUCUGGGAUAAGCCCGGGAAACUGGGUCUAAUACCGGAUACGACUGUCGUGCGCAUGCAUGGUGGUGGAAAGUUCCGGCGGUGCAGGAUGAGCCCGCGGCCUAUCAGCUUGUUGGUGGGGUGAUGGCCUACCAAGGCGACGACGGGUAGCCGGCCUGAGAGGGCGACCGGCCACACUGGGACUGAGACACGGCCCAGACUCCUACGGGAGGCAGCAGUGGGGAAUAUUGCGCAAUGGGCGAAAGCCUGACGCAGCGACGCCGCGUGAGGGAUGACGGCCUUCGGGUUGUAAACCUCUUUCGCCAGGGACGAAGCGAGAGUGACGGUACCUGGAGAAGAAGCACCGGCUAACUACGUGCCAGCAGCCGCGGUAAUACGUAGGGUGCGAGCGUUGUCCGGAAUUAUUGGGCGUAAAGAGCUCGUAGGCGGUUUGUUGCGUCGGCCGUGAAAACUUCACGCUUAACGUGGAGCUUGCGGUCGAUACGGGCAGACUUGAGUUCGGUAGGGGAGACUGGAAUUCCUGGUGUAGCGGUGAAAUGCGCAGAUAUCAGGAGGAACACCGGUGGCGAAGGCGGGUCUCUGGGCCGAUACUGACGCUGAGGA
rnacentral:rRNA from 1 species